rnacentral:lncRNA from 1 species
GGUGGGAGAGGACUCUAAGAAAAACAAGAACAAGAAAGGAAUUUCUGCUUUUAGUGACCAGACCUUCAACUCUUGCUCACAGAAAGAGGGUGCUCAUUAAGAGAAGUUCUUUAAGGAGCCUGCCUUAUCUGCUGGCCCUAUUCCAAGAGAGGAGCCAGUCUCCAGCAUUAAAUUACUUUUCUCACUGGUCAUCAUUAGCAUGGAGAAUGCCUUUGAUCCUAUCCCCACAGCAGCCAGUUCCUGCCCCUGUGGUAGAAAUGUCCCAGGUUGGGGGGCAGAGAAGCCCCUAAAAUAGUUUCAAAGAAUCUACAACAAACUGUAAAGAACUUUGUUUUGUUUUGCCAGUUUGAAUUUAGAAUUCAGGCUUUGGCUGUGGCCGAGGUCAGGAUUAAUGUUUUCGUUUCCAUGGGCCCUUAGCCCACUGAGACAGUUUGGUAAAGGACUACUACUACAGUCCUGAUAUUCAGAGACAUGGAGAGAGCUAUAGUUUUUUUUUAUUAAAGGUUGGUACUAUAGUAUUAACAAUCUCUUUAUUAGAUAUAAGAGACAAGAAGCCCCAGGUGAACUGGUUACAAUUCUUUUGUCAGCUGCUUAGUAUCUAACACUCAGGUUCUAUCGUCUCUCCAUCCUUUUAUUAUUAGUUGUUACUGAAAGCCUAGUGCCAUUUAGAGGAUGGGUCUCUUGAGCGAUAAAACCACUGAGCUGACACUAAAGGAAAGUACUCCUUAAGGGAAAAUCUAAGUCCAGAGAGACAGCCGGUAGCAGAUAGGCUGCCCCUCUGCUCACUUUUCUGUUUCACAGACACAAGGUCUUUUUGUCCCAAGAAAGCCUCCUGGCUUAGCUGUGUGACUAAAUGCUAUUUGCCCUCUUCAGUGGACCUCUAUUCUCAAGAUUCCCUUGUUUUCUCACCAUCCCAUUUGAGAUGCUUGUUAGUAACUGUUACAGGUCUUCUUUACCACCGAGGAAAGACGGAAUCCUACUAGAGGCCAGAAAAAGUGUUCCAGAGAUGGAUAGAAGGCCCUCACUUCUGCCUGCUCUCUUCAGACGCCUAAAGGUAGGGAGUGCCAGGUCUGCUGCCAGGCUCCAAGGGUGGGUCUCUGAGGGGCUAGAAAAUGCCCCACCAAUCUGGCUAAGAUAAAGAAAGGAUAU